ensembl:lincRNA linc-52 ncRNA
GUGUUUUUGAGUUAAUUUUAAGUCCUCUAACUACAAAAUUAACUAUUUUAGAAGAGUUUCAAAAUUGUGAAUUUUUGCCAUAAAUUUGCCAAAUUUGCCACUUUUAAUAGUUUUUCAUUGGUUAUACCCCUAGUUUUUCUGAACUCUCCAUAUUUGAAUUACCUGUUUUCAAAAAAUGUUUAAAAAAAUAUUUUUUCCAAAUUGUUUUUUCAGUCAUCUAAUGACUGUACUUUUUUUUGGGCAAAAAAAAAUUUCUCUGAAAACGUCUGAAACUACUAUAUUCUAAAAAAUGGCAUCUUUUUUGGGUUCGGAGAUCUUUUUUAACCUUUAAAAUUCAUUGGCUAAUAAUCAAAUAAAAUAUAUUGUU